rnacentral:rRNA from 1 species
ACGAACGCUGGCGGCAGGCCUAACACAUGCAAGUCGAGCGCGCCCUUCGGGGUGAGCGGCGGACGGGUGAGUAACGCGUGGGAACGUGCCCUUUUCUACGGAAUAGCCUCGGGAAACUGAGAGUAAUACCGUAUACGCCCUUUGGGGGAAAGAUUUAUCGGAAAAGGAUCGGCCCGCGUUGGAUUAGGUAGUUGGUGGGGUAAUGGCCUACCAAGCCGACGAUCCAUAGCUGGUUUGAGAGGAUGAUCAGCCACACUGGGACUGAGACACGGCCCAGACUCCUACGGGAGGUAGCAGUGGGGAAUCUUAGACAAUGGGGGCAACCCUGAUCUAGCCAUGCCGCGUGAGUGAUGAAGGCCUUAGGGUUGUAAAGCUCUUUCAGCUGGGAAGAUAAUGACGGUACCAGCAGAAGAAGCCCCGGCUAACUCCGUG